AUUGAACGCUGGCGGUAUGCUUAACACAUGCAAGUCGAACGAGUGGCGGACGGGUGAGUCAUGCAUAGGCAUCUCCCUUUUAGUCUAGGAUAACUACCCGAAAGGGUGGCUAAUACUGGUUGAUAAGAGAUGAGCCUAUGUGGGAUUAGGUGGUUGGUGGGGUAAUGGGUCACCAGGGCGAAGAUCUCUUGCUGGUUGGAGAGGAUGAGCGUGCAAGCUCGGACGGAGACACGGCCCAGACUCCUACGGAAGGCAGCAGUGGGGAAUAGUGGACAAUAGGCGAAAGUCUGAGCCAGCAAUACCGCGUGUGUGAGGAAGGCCCUAGGGUUGCAAAGCACUUUUGUUAGGGUGAGGUUACCUAAAGAAGAAGCACCGGCUAACUCCGUGCCAGCAGCCGCGGUAAUAC
rnacentral:rRNA from 1 species